rnacentral:rRNA from 1 species
UACGUAGGUGGCAAGCGUUGUCCGGAUUUACUGGGUGUAAAGGGCGCGUAGGCGGGCUCGUAAGUCAGACGUGAAAUACCGGGGCUCAACCCCGGGGCUGCGUCUGAAACUGCGAGUCUUGAGUGCCGGAGAGGAAAGCGGAAUUCCUAGUGUAGCGGUGAAAUGCGUAGAUAUUAGGAGGAACACCAGUGGCGAAGGCGGCUUUCUGGACGGUAACUGACGCUGAGGCGCGAAAGCGUGGGGAGCAAACAGG